ACGCUCGACACCUACGGGAGGCCAGCAGUGGGGAAUAUUGCACAAUGGGGGAAACCCUGAUGCAGCGACGCCGCGUGGAGGAAGAAGGUCUUCGGAUUGUAAACUCCUGUUGUUGGGGAAAAAGAGGAUGGUACCCAACAAGGAAGUGACGGCUAACUACGUGCCAGCAGCCGUGGUAAUCUGAGCGGGCUGGCAAGGC
rnacentral:rRNA from 1 species